GCCACACCAGCGGCAUAUGGAGGUUCUCAGGUUAGGGGUCGAAAAUUGGAGCUGUAGCUACUGGCCUACACCACAGACACAGCAAUGCUAGAUCCAAGCUGCAUCUGCGACCUAUACCACAGCACAUGGUAAUGCCGGAUCCUUAACCCACUGAGCGAGGUCAGGGAUCGAACCUUCGUCCUCAUGGAUGGUAGUCAGAUUCGUCUCUGCUGAGCCACAAUGGGAACUCCUCACCACCAGCCUGGCCAGAAGGAUGACUGGUUUUAAGUUCUAACUUUGCCCUUCAGCCUCCACUUCUUUUCUGGUGAAACAUGGGGGAGAUACAGACAACCUCCAUGAUGCCUCAAAGCUCACACAUCCUGCACCGCCUGGGCUCCCCCAAUGGAUGUCCGCCUUGACCCAUCUGCCCACACUUUUCCCAGCCAGGAGGCCACUGGGCACCCUUUCUCAAGAAUGGCAGGAUGUCACUGCUCUUGCUACAGCUUCUAAAAAGGCCAGUUAUCCCAGGGGCACAAUGGAAACAUCCACGGCAGUUAUCUUAGGGGAGCCAACCCCAGCCCUCCAGACACCAGCGACAGCUCUGAUCACCUCACUGGCUGAUGAGGGGAGAUUUCCGUGCACAAAACCCCAUUCAGAGGCUUUUUGGAAGCCUUCUGUCCUGGGGCAAUGAAGCAGGCUGCCUCUUUUUCCACCAAAUGUCCAAAGGGAAAUGACAUGCACCAAGAAUUUGGACAAACUUUUUUGGAAGAAGAAACAGUGUGAAAAUUGCACAGAUUCUUGUUACUUAAAGCAUUUGAGAAGAAAACUGCAGGAAGUGGUAGAUUCGGGACAUAAAGGACAUCAUUUGCCUGCCUUAUUAUCUCAUUUUUCAGUGGAACUGACAGGACAGCUGCCUGUUAUUACAGGGCACACCAGGAAAUGUUUAGCUGCCAAACAGAAAAGAACGAGUGAGGGAUUAGCAGCCCUGUUCAUGCCACACAAAUAGAAUUCUUGCACCUGGUAGUCAUGCAGUUAGAUUUAUCAUCUUCGCAGGGUAUGUUACUUAAAUCCCAUUUACAAAGAAACAAAAACAACCCCAAAAGGCGCCUUAAUGUCAUUGUAAUUAUGAUCAGUAUUAGUAACCAUUUUGCAGUUUUUUUAGUCUAGUUUAAAUUAAUUGGUGGCGGUUUUCAUUUAAUUGCUCAUCUUUUAUUUGGUUUCUAAAAUGUUGUAAAUUCACUCUUCCGUGUUUCAAAGCAAACGCAUUCUUAGAAAUGAAAGAUGGAUAACAGUUUAAUCCGCCGGAAGGCUGCUGUCAUUAAUGAUGUUGCGUAACAAUAGCCGUCUCUGUGCAAGGUGGCAGAUCACCUACAGAAGUGACAUUUCAAAGAGUCAAUAAUCUGCUUCUCAGCUUCGUUUUCUAAUGCUGGGGGAUGGGGGUUUGGAAGGGUGGGGCCGGGAGGGGGCGGUGAAGGGAUAGGGAGCCAGUCCCUUGAGCGGCUAACACAGCAGAGAUACUGCACGCAGAGGUGGAAGAAGCUGCUGAUGACAGCAGAGGCCCUAAAAGCCUGCUUUGUCCCCAUGAGAGUGUCUUCACGUCCCUCAUGCCAACCCCGGGGAGGAAUCUAGCAGGAGGAAAAAGUGAGUCUUAGUUCCCAUGAAAACUACCCUUGAGUAUAUGUAAGAAUCGUUGAAUUAAUGAAACAGCUAAGGAGUUCCUGUCAUGGCUCAGCGGAAAGGAAUCUGACUAGUAUCUAUGAGGACACAGGUUCCAUCCCUGGCCUUGUUCAGUGGGUUAAAGAUCUGGCAUUGCUGUGAGCUGUGGUGUGGGUCACAGACACAGCUCAGAUCAGGCCUUGCUGUGGCUGUGGCAUAGGCUGGCAGCUGCAGCUCCAAUUUGACCCCUAGCCUGGGAAACUCCAUAUGUCAUAGGAGCAGCCCUAAAAAGACCAAGAAAAUAAAAAUAAAAUAAAAUAAAAAUCUAACCCCUCAUGGACCCUUGUUGGUUAAAUUACUAGGGUAAAAACCUGAGAUGGUUAAGUUUUCAUUCCUCUCUUGCCACUUCCUAGGGCCUCUCUGUACCAACCAACCUUUGAUAUAAAGGAGAAUGGGACCACUCUGAGCACACCCACCUUGCCUGGAAACAUUGGGAAUAUUUAAGUGUUCAAAGGGGUAUUAGUUCUCUAGGGGGCAGGGAUCAGGGGCAUUCUGGAUGGAGGGAACCAUACAAAAAGUCUGAGGGGGGAGUUGCUAGGAGUCAGGUAGGAUCAGUGCUCAGUCUGGCUACAGAGGAGUGAAGGCUGGAGCCAGAGACCAGAGGGCCGUGAUUGCCCUUUUAAGGGGCAUGGUCUCUGCCCGCCACAUGAUGGAGAUGAGUGAUAACGCAUUGGUGAUAUUUGUGAAAUUUGCUCCUACAGCAUGAAUUUUAAGGAAAAGAGGUUGAAGACGGGAAGACUUAGGAUACCCUUAGAAUAGUCCAAGUAGGAGCUGCAAGCAGAGAGCAUGAACAAGAAACAGGUCCCAGAGAGCUCAAGGGUAAAGCUUAGACAAGAAGCUGCAAACUGGAAAUAAGGAAGAGAGACUAGAUUGCAUCCUUGGGUGUGUGUGUGAAGCAUGGUACCAUUAUUAGAGAUGGGGGAUUCAGGAGAAGAACAGACUAGGGAAUGAGGGGAGAGUUGAUUUGUGCCACUUGGGGUGCUGUGG
rnacentral:lncRNA from 1 species